GCAUAACAGACGUAAAUGUGCUCGAACGAAACGUGUGUAAUAUAAAAACCGUAAAUUCCCUAGAAAAUACAAAAAGUUGCAAAAACAUAAACGAAAAUAAAAAAAUUUAUAUAUUUUAGUCUCUUUACACCCGUAAAGACGACUCGUGUCAAAAGAAAUAACAAAAAAAAUAUAUAAAAGAAUAAAAAAACAACAAGAAACGAGUUCGUGGUAGUAAAAAUCUACAUUUAAAUCAAUUGCGUAUCUACUUCGUGAGCAAUUUUAUUACUUUUUUUUCGCUAUUACUAUGUAUUUUUGUGCAAAUUUUGCAAAAAUAUAUGACGACGUUAACGAAUGGUUGUUUAUGAAUUAUGAUGGAUGUUUAUGUUUUACCGGCUUUUUUUCGCUGCGUGUUCUUGUUGCAAUCAGCGUAUGAGUGAUGCUCGUACAAUGAAAACAAAUUAAAUAUUUUAAUUGAACACAACACAGGUCACACAACUACAUUGUGUAUCUGUGUAAAGCUAAAAGGUCAUUGUGU